CUUAUUUCUGCCUUUUCUUUACCUUAAUAACCAGAACUCAAUAUUGAGAAUAAAUGUUUACUUUUGAUUUAAUUUGUUGAAUAAUUCUUGAUAAACAAAGGCUUGGCUUGAUUAUGUUUGUCUUGUUCUUAAUUGUGAUUUAAUAAUUUUCUGUUAAUUUUUGGUCAAUCAUUUGAAUUAAACUCAACGAAUCGGGUAAAAGAGCGCCAUCUACAGAGCAAUUUUUUAGUCUUUACAGAGCUAAACAUCUGUUGACUUAUGGCUGGAUAACUGUUAAAAUCAAAUUAGUCUUUGCCUCUGUUUUGAUCUCAUCUAAUUGUUAUUUUGAUUUGUUACUGUUUUGAUUAUUAUUCAGAUUCAGCCUGAGUUUCAAGUUUCAUCUUGUAUUGGUUUUACUGGAUUGAUGUUUAAAUUGUGUGAUAUUUAAAAUAUUGUCUUGCUCUAGGAUUUACUGUGCGAUCUGAAGUCAAAUAGAUUCUAAUCUAGUUUUUGUUUUUUGUCUUGUUAAUUAGUAAGCCUACUAAUGGGCUAAAUUUAAUAACCACAAGGACUAUUGUUGAAGAUUAAUUUUAAACAUUUUGCCUUGAGGCAUCAAUUAAUCAAUAUCUUGUUUAAGGUGUGCUUUUGAUUUACUUUUUUUCGCCAUGAUUUUCCCUUUUUGCUUACAAUUUAAUAUUUUGAAAAAUUUCUUUUACUUAUUCUUUUAUCCUUUUUAUUUUAUUAUUUCUCGUAUUUUAAUUUAACAUGUGUAACAUUUUAAUUUAAUCAACAACUAAAGCCCACGCAAGCUCUUAAACUGUCCGGAAGAGGGAAAAAAAUACAAAGGUAAAGGUCAAACGAUGAAAAGAUCACAAAUCACAAUUUCAAACAAUUUACAUCUUCAAUUUAGGACAUUGGAUACAAAUGGAAGCAAAAAUUGGAUUCAAAAGUGGAAUCCAUUUCAAAGUGAUUCAUUGAAAGCAAUAAAAGCUCAGAGUUGAUCAUAAAAGGCUUAUUAUGUUGUUAACAAAUUGUUUCAAGGUAAGAUUGGUCAAUUGUGAUUAGCUUGAUGGUUAACAUUGAAAAUAACAAAUCAGAUAAAAUUAACUAAUGAUUCAAAAAAGGAAAUGUUAAUCUUUUUUUAAUCGAAUCAAGAAAAGGUGAAAAAUUUCUGAAACCAAAAUUAAGUUAACACACAAAAGCUAAUGAUAUUUUCAAUGUUUUUGGACAGUUGAUCUGAUUGUUUUUUACUUUGGCCAAGUGUUCAUCAAUUGAUGGUAAUCAGUUGAGGUAAUAAUUUGAAAGCCAUUUAAGGUAAGUCAAAAAGGUUAUGCAAAAUUGUAUUACCACCUACAACAAUCAUGUGUGAUUUAUUCAAUAAUAUAUUGGAAACAAUUAAUUGAGUUAGAUGAAAUGUUGAGAUGAAAAGGUAAAUUAAAGUUAGGUUAAAUGACUGUAAAUGUUGUCAUCAAACUGCUUUAUAAGGCUUUGAUAACCUGAUAUGGUUAAUCUGAUUGUUACCCGAGUCUGUCUCAAGGUGCUCAUAAUAGUGUUCAUCAUUACUCUCAUCGUAAUAAUCAUCAUGUUUCAUGACCUUCUUUCUGGAUUGUCUUUUAACGUUCACUUUUAUCAAUGAAUAUUCUUUCCUUUUAUUCAAUUUCAUUCACUCAGAGUAAAACCAUAACCAUGAAUGAAUGCGUACAAACUGUAGUAGGAUGAUGAUGAUGAUGAUGAAGCUAAACCUUGAAGUUGUACUUUUUUCCUUCGUAAUUGAAUGAAUGGAAAUGGUGAAAGUUGAUGAACAAUAUUUGAUUACAAAUUAACGUUUUGAUUGUUAAUUAUUCAAGAGAAAUGUUGAUGUUUAAUCUUAUUACUGGAGCGACACACAGUUUGCUCAGUUUGAGACAUUUUUUGUUUUCUUCUCAAUCUUUCAAUUUUAAACCAAUUUGAUAUUCAAUUUGACUGGCAAAUUGUUUGCCUGAUGAAGUUAAUUGAAUUGGAAAAUUGAAUUAAAUGAGACAAAUUCAUUAUGUAUGUUGAUUAUUUGGUGAUCAGGUUGAGUGUUUAGUCUUUAUGGUAAAAUAACAUUUUAAGAUUGGCACUUUUUUGUUCCUUCCUGACAUUUUAAUUGUAACGAUGAAACUUCCAUUCCUUUUGUUUUCCAAUUUGUUGACAAUAAUAAUAAUACCUGGGAGAAUUAAGGUGAUGAUUGUUCAACAGCAAACAGCCAACAGCAAAUCGUAGGGAUUAGGUGGGAGUUGAAUAUGGAGUAAAAAAUAUUACUAUUGUUGUUGAUGAUAAUAUAAUGGUUUAAGGAUGAAUGAAAGUCAAAAUGUCUCAAUGAGAAGGUAAAAAAAUGAUUUACGAUUGACAAUAUGAUUAUUGUUGCAAUGAAAGAUUGAAUAUUGAAUUCAUCACUGAAUAAUGUAUGAAAAGUUCAAUAAACUUGUAUCAACUUCUUGACAAAAUUCAUCAGAUAUACUUUCAUUGGAUUUCUCUCGCUCCAUUUGCAUGUGUAUCAAUGAAAACAUAUUUUUAAUCUCAUUUUUUCCUCAGUUUUUUUAAAGUUCAAGUGAUCAAUUGAUUGAUUAGAUGAUGGUUGAAUCUUUGCUAAUAAACUUGAGACUUCAAGUCAUCUCGGUGGUGGAGUUCAUGGAUAAGACCAAACAAAAUGCUAAAUUAUGAAUUGAUGAUUCUUUCAGUUGAAUUUGGAUGUAAAGAUUUAGUUAUUUCCACAUUGGUUCCAAUCAAGGCUGCUAUUGACUCGAUCAAAUUUUAAGCUUCUUGGACACUGAUAUAACUGGUUUGCGAAAAGUUGAAUUAGAUCCUCUAAUUUAAUCGUGAUUUUAAGCAACAAGAUUCGAGUUUUUUCCUUUCCUGUUUAUUCAACAUUUUAAGCCUUUGGUGAAUCAAUUAGUUGCCAUGGUCAAUUUUAAAAAUUGAAGAGUUCGAUCAUGUUAGCUGAGGUUGUAAGCCAAUGUGAAGGCAAAAAAGCUUUGAUAAGGAUUAAAUUUGCCUAAUCCAAAUGGCUCAAUAUGGUCUUUCCCAGUUUAAUGUCAUCACUUUAAACUUUUGUUUUCCCAAUAUGUGUUACCAUGGUCAACUCCAAUUGUGAGGAAAAAUUGAGGAAUUACAGAGACCAAUCAUGAUAAUCCAAUCUUAAGUUGAGAUUAAAGAGGAUUAUAGAGAAAGUUAAAGAUGUUAUAAGGUAUACGGAUAUAAGAUGUUAGGUAUACAUGGAUUCGUCUUCUCUCUUUCAAAACGUUCUUGUGUAAUAUUUACUGAGUAAAGUCGGACCUCUCAACACGUUAACCGGCUGUCUCUAACUUCAAAGUAAAAGACAGAAAUAAAAACAAGUCAUGAUACUGAAUCGUAGGUUGAUACAGCAACUAUUGAGGCAGAAAAUUUUCUGCCCAAAUUCAAACUAUCUCAAAAAAUUAGUUGCCAUGGCUAUAUCUAGUUAUUGACGGAAACCAAAAGAUACAAAAGAGUCGAGUCAAGUGGAUAUGGAAAUCCAAACGUGGGUUACGAAGAGCGGAAAACCCAAGGUUUGAUCUUUUCCCAUUUCGAUGUUGUCAUUUCCAUUGUACGUCUAUUAUUUAAACA